UGGAAACAUCAUAUUUAUAAUAUUUAAAAACAAAAUAAAAAACUUAAUUAGUUCUUAUUUUUUUUUCCUCUUUAGAGAAAGAAAUCCUCUGAUACAUCCAGAGUGGAAAGCAGUCCACCAAGUAAUCCUCAGACUCUCUCCAAGUCUGCUAAAAGACAACGGCUCACGAAGGCUGCCAAUGCAAACGAGAAGAAAAAGCUGUUCAGUGACACGGACACAGACAACACGACAGAGAUUAGCUGGUUACACUCAGCCAACAGGAAACCCAAGCCCAAAGUGGCAGACUACAGCAGGCAGCCGGUUAAACCCAUCUAUCCACCAGCUGACUCUGCAUUUAAAUCACCAUAUACACCUUUGCCUUCGCCAAAACCAGUGAAAGAACAAAUCAAGCCAAAGCGGAAGAGACAGAAGAAAAUGGCUGAACAGGAGGAUAAAAGGCAGCCAAGCGUCAAUAAUAAGAAAGCCACAGGACGACCUCAAAGAGCUGCAGCCUUGACCAGAACCUACAGAGAGCCGUCUGACUCAGACAACCAGUCCAGUCUGUCAGAGAGCGAAAGAGCACCACCC